CAGGUGUAAAUACGGUGACGUAUGUAGCCGAGCAGUACUAAUUACCCAAAACUUUUAA
rnacentral:rRNA from 1 species